rnacentral:tRNA from 1 species
AAUGAUGAGCCUGAAUUAAAGGACUAUCGUGAUAGGAUAAAAUAUGUAGUCCAAACAGAGCUACCUUCAUUA